GCAGUCGAGCGGACCGACGGGAGCUUGCUCCCUUAGGUCAGCGGCGGACGGGUGAGUAACACGUGGGUAACCUGCCUGUAAGACUGGGAUAACUCCGGGAAACCGGGGCUAAUACCGGAUGCUUGAUUGAACCGCAUGGUUCAAUCAUNAAAGGCGGCUUCGGCUGCCGUUUACAGAUGGACCCGCGGCGCAUUAGCUAGUUGGUGAGGUAACGGCUCACCAAGGCGACGAUGCGUAGCCGACCUGAGAGGGUGAUCGGCCACACUGGGACUGAGACACGGCCCAGACUCCUACGGGAGGCAGCAGUAGGGAAUCUUCCGCAAUGGACGAAAGUCUGACGGAGCAACGCCGCGUGAGUGAUGAAGGUUUUCGGAUCGUAAAGCUCUGUUGUUAGGGAAGAACAAGUACCGUUCGAAUAGGGCGGUACCUUGACGGUACCUAACCAGAAAGCCACGGCUAACUACGUGCCAGCAGCCGCGGUAAUACGUAGGUGGCAAGCGUUGUCCGGAAUUAUUGGGCGUAAAGCGCGCGCAGGCGGUUUCUUAAGUCUGAUGUGAAAGCCCCCGGCUCAACCGGGGAGGGUCAUUGGAAACUGGGGAACUUGAGUGCAGAAGAGGAGAGUGGAAUUCCACGUGUAGCGGUGAAAUGCGUAGAGAUGUGGAGGAACACCAGUGGCGAAGGCGACUCUCUGGUCUGUAACUGACGCUGAGGCGCGAAAGCGUGGGGAGCGAACAGGAUUAGAUACCCUGGUAGUCCACGCCGUAAACGAUGAGUGCUAAGUGUUAGAGGGUUUCCGCCCUUUAGUGCUGCAGCAAACGCAUUAAGCACUCCGCCUGGGGAGUACGGUCGCAAGACUGAAACUCAAAGGAAUUGACGGGGGCCCGCACAAGCGGUGGAGCAUGUGGUUUAAUUCGAAGCAACGCGAAGAACCUUACCAGGUCUUGACAUCCUCUGACAUNCCUAGAGAUAGGGCUUCCCCUUUCGGGGGCAGAGUGACAGUGGUGCAUGGCUUGUCGUCAGCUCGUGUCGUGAGAUGUGGGUUAGUCCCGCAACGAGCGCA
rnacentral:rRNA from 1 species